AUUGAAGUUUCUCUGUAUGCACACCCACCGGCCACUGCCAUUGCCCAUCUGCUCUCAUUAAUGUUAUCUUCAUUUUUUAAUGUAUUUUAGGCUUGAGCGCUUGCCCCCUCCAUGCUCUCGUGUCUUGUCUUCUUUAUGUAUUUCAUCUACUCUUCACGGCAUCAUACAUCUAUAUAUCUGUUUGUCUCCAGAGCAAGGUCCUCCAUGGCACAAAGUCCUCGCCUUCUCGACCUUCCAUGGAAGGUCAAGCUUUCCAUAUCCACCCUCAGCUUCGCCAUUGAUAUCACUCGUCGUUCCAAUGGCACUGUCAACCGCUUUCUCAUGAGCCUCUUUGAUUUUAAAACGUCUCCAUCCAAGAAACCAGUCAAUGGUGUCAAAUCCACCGAUAUCACAAUUGACAAGGCUCGCAAUCUCUGGUUCCGCCUCUACACUCCCACCACCACCACCGGAGGUGCUUCCCGUAAUGAUGUUAGCAUGCCGGUUAUUUUCUUCUUCCACGGUGGUGGCUUUGCUUACAUGUCACCAGACUCGAAGCUCUAUGAUGACUUCUGCCACCGGCUUGCGUGCGAGCUCUCUGCAAUUAUCAUCUCCGUCAACUACCGCCUCGCUCCAGAACAUCGCUGUCCAGCACAAUACGAAGACGGUUUUGAUGCUCUAAAAUUCAUUGACAACGAACAAAUUGAGGGAUUUUCAAACCGUGUCAAUCUCAAACACUGUUUUCUUGCCGGAGACAGUGCAGGAGGCAAUUUAGUGCAUCACGUUACGCUAAAAGCUAGUGAACAUGAAUUUCGCAACAUAAAACUUAUUGGAAACAUUUUGAUCCAGCCAUUUUUUGGCGGCGAAGAAAGAACAGAAUCUGAGACGAGGCUUAGCGGUCAAGUUCCAUUCGUUACUAUAGAGCGUGCAGACUGGAUGUGGAGGGCGUUCUUGCCGGAGGGGUCAGACCGUGACCAUCCGGCAGCGAAUGUUUUUGGGCUUAAUUCGGUAGAUCUUUCGGGAAGGGAGUUUCCGGCAACUAUUGUUUUUAUCGGAGGGCUUGACCCAUUGCAAGACUGGCAAAGGAGGUACUACGAAGGGCUGAAGAAAUCUGGGAAGAAAGCAUAUCUGGUUGAGUAUCCGAAUACAUUCCAUGCAUUUUAUGCUUACCCAGAUCUGCCUGAGUUUUCUUUGUUCAUCAAGGAGGUGAUGGAGUUUGUGCAGAAGCAAUCAGCAGCAGCAAAUAAAUGAUUGUAUUUGGAUCCUACCUUCUGGUUUCUUAGUUUAUUUGCAUGAGCAUAUGAGUUGUUAACAAUUUCUGAGACGGAAGCAUAAUCCAAAUUAAAUCUAUUUUAAGAAGGAAAAAAAACCUGCUAUUUUUUUCUUAUAUUUUAUAGAAACUCUCGGCUAAAUAAAUCAGGAUUAAUCUUAUUUAUAUGGAAUAAAGCGCACCUAAUAAAUAUUUUUUCUAUUCACA
rnacentral:misc_RNA from 1 species